rnacentral:rRNA from 1 species
UGUACACACCGCCCGUCACACCACGAAAGUCGGCAAUACCCGAAGCCGGUGGGCUAACCCCUCGGGGAGGCAGCCGUCGAAGGUAGGGUCGAUGAUUGGGGUGAAGUCGUAACAAGGUAGCCGUAGCGGAAGCUGCGGCUGGAUCACCUCCUU